rnacentral:rRNA from 1 species
CUACGGGGGGCUCCAGUAGGGAAUUUUGCGCAAUGGGCGAAAGCCUGACGCAACAACACCGCGUGUGGGAUGAAGCUUUUCGGAGUGUAAACCACUGUCAGAGGGGACGAAACCUGACGGUACCCUCAAAGGAAGCAUCGGCUAACUACGUGCCAGCAGCCGCGGGUAAGACGUAGGAUGCAAGCGUUGUCCGGAAUUAUUGGGCGUAAAGCGUUCGUAGGCGGCCGGUAAAGUCUGAUGUUAAAGCCCGGGGCUCAACUCCGGUUCAGCAUUGGAUACUUACAAGCUAGAGUGCAGGAGAGGAAAGGGGAAUUCCUAGUGUAGCGGUGAAAUGCGUAGAUAUUAGGAGGAACACCGGUGGCGAAAGCGCCUUGCCGGACUGUUACUGACGCUGAGGGACGAAAGCCAGGGGAGCAAAUGGGAUUAGAUACCCUAGUAGUC